rnacentral:rRNA from 1 species
UACGUAGGGGGCUAGCGUUGUCCGGAUUUAUUGGGCGUAAAGAGCGUGUAGGCGGCCAGGUAGGUCUGGUGUGAAAACUCGAGGCUUAACCUCGAGAUGUCAUCGGAAACCAUCUGGCUAGAGUCCGGAAGAGGAGAGUGGAAUUUCUGGUGUAGCGGUGAAAUGCGCAGAUAUCAGGAAGAACACCAAUGGCGAAGGCAGCUCGCUGGUACGACACUGACGCUAAGGCGCGAAAGCGUGGGGAGCGAACAGG